UACAGGGGUCUCAAGCGUUGUUCGGAUUCAUUGGGCGUAAAGGGUGCGUAGGUGGCGGGGUAAGUCUGGUGUGAAAUCUCGGGGCUCAACCCCGAAACUGCACUGGAUACUGCCUUGCUUGAGUACUGGAGAGGAGAUUGGAAUUUACGGUGUAGCAGUGAAAUGCGUAGAUAUCGUAAGGAAGACCAGUGGCGAAGGCGAAUCUCUGGACAGUUACUGACACUGAGGCACGAAGGCCAGGGGAGCAAACGGG
rnacentral:rRNA from 1 species